rnacentral:rRNA from 1 species
UUGAUUACGUCCCUGCCCUUUGUACACACCGCCCGUCGCUGCCCGGGACUGAGCCGUUUCGAGAAAAGCGGAGACUGCUGUUUUGAUACCUUUCAGGGUGGAGAUUCUUUGGUGGAAACCGCUUUAAUCGCAGUGGCUUGAACCGGGCAAAAGUCGUAACAAGGUUUCCGUAGGUGAACCUACGGAAGGAUCAUUA